rnacentral:rRNA from 1 species
ACGGAAUCAAGAGGAGCUUGCUUUUCUUGAUUUAGUGGCGAACGGGUGAGUAACGCGUGAGUAACCUGCCCUGGAGUGGGGGACAACAGUUGGAAACGACUGCUAAUACCGCAUAAGCCCACGGUGCUGCAUGGCACUGCGGGAAAAGGAUUUAUUCGCUUCAGGAUGGACUCGCGUCCAAUUAGCUAGUUGGUGAGGUAACGGCCCACCAAGGCGACGAUUGGUAGCCGGACUGAGAGGUUGAACGGCCACAUUGGGACUGAGACACGGCCCAGACUCCUACGGGAGGCAGCAGUGGGGGAUAUUGCACAAUGGGGGAAACCCUGAUGCAGCGACGCCGCGUGGAGGAAGAAGGUUUUCGGAUUGUAAACUCCUGUCGUUAGGGACGAUAAUGACGGUACCUAACAAGAAGGCACCGGCUAACUACGUGCCAGCAGCCGCGGUAAAACGUAGGGUGCAAGCGUUGUCCGGAAUUACUGGGUGUAAAGGGAGCGCAGGCGGACCGGCAAGUUGGAAGUGAAAUCCAUGGGCUCAACCCGUGAAUUGCUUUCAAAACUGCUGGCCUUGAGUAGUGCAGAGGUAGGCGGAAUUCCCGGUGUAGCGGUGGAAUGCGUAGAUAU